GACAAUCAUAUUGCAGCAGCAGUGCUCCUACCUCUGAACUAAUUUUGGAAGGCCUGCUUAGCGAACAGCCAAGUUUCUUUUUGAAUAGCUGAUUCAACUCAAGUAAUGAGGGUAGCAUCUCAUCCACAAUGCAGCUAUAUGAAGACAAAAUGAUCUUAGCAGCUAAAUUGCAGACAAUUCAACAUUCUCAGCAGGAUCUUUUAUCUUAGAACCCUGAGAUUGCCAUUGAAACAGACCCCACUAGCCAGCAGAAUGAAAAGAGACAUGUCACCUUCAUCAUCAUACCUCAUAGUGAUUGAGGACUUUAAGAUGAGGCAGUUUCCAGCAACCUAUCAGAGAAACGUGAGCAAGCCCAAGCCGUGAUCAGCCAAGCCUGGCCCAGAUCAGCAGAAUCACUCAGCUGCCAGUGACCAAAACUAUGGAAAGCAAAACCAAAGAUGAGGGGGAACUACUGUAAUAUGAAACAUUCAUAUAAGUGAGCUACUUAGAGAAGACCAAAGAGACCUGAAAUCCAAAGUGACAAGAAGUCAGAACAACAAAAGAACAUAUAUCUC